rnacentral:rRNA from 1 species
UGCAGUCGACGAUGAAGCCUUUCGGGGUGGAUUAGUGGCGAACGGGUGAGUMMCACGUGGGCAAUCUGCCCUUCACUCUGGGACAAGCCCUGGAAACGGGGUCUAAUACCGGAUAACACUCUGUCCCGCAUGGGACGGGGUUAAAAGCUCCGGCGGUGAAGGAUGAGCCCGCGGCCUAUCARCUUGUUGGUGGGGUGAUGGCCUACCAAGGCGACKACGGGUAGCCGGCCUGAKAGGGCGACCGGCCACMCUGGGACUGARACACGGCCCAGACUCCUACGGGAGGCAGCAGUGGGGAAUAUUGCACAAUGGGCGAAAGCCUGAUGCAGCGACGCCGCGUGAGGGAUGACGGCCUUCGGGUUGUAAACCUCUUUCAGCAGGGAAGAAGCGAAAGUGACGGUACCUGCAGAAGAAGCGCCGGCUAACUACGUGCCAGCAGCCGCGGUAAUACGUAGGGCGCAAGCGUUGUCCGGAAUUAUUGGGCGUAAAGAGCUCGUAGGCGGCUUGUCACGUCGGAUGUGAAAGCCCGGGGCUUAACCCCGGGUCUGCAUUCGAUACGGGCUAGCUAGAGUGUGGUAGGGGAGAUCGGAAUUCCUGGUGUAGCGGUGAAAUGCGCAGAUAUCAGGAGGAACACCGGUGGCGAAGGCGGAUCUCUGGGCCAUUACUGACGCUGAGGAGCGAAAGCGUGGGGAGCGAACAGGAUUAGAUACCCUGGUAGUCCACGCCGUAAACGUUGGGAACUAGGUGUUGGCGACAUUCCACGUCGUCGGUGCCGCAGCUAACGCAUUAAGUUCCCCGCCUGGGGAGUACGGCCGCAAGGCUAAAACUCAAAGGAAUUGACGGGGGCCCGCACAAGCAGCGGAGCAUGUGGCUUAAUUCGACGCAACGCGAAGAACCUUACCAAGGCUUGACAUAUACCGGAAAGCAUCAGAGAUGGUGCCCCCCUUGUGGUCGGUAUACAGGUGGUGCAUGGCUGUCGUCAGCUCGUGUCGUGAGAUGUUGGGUUAAGUCCCGCAACGAGCGCAACCCUUGUUCUGUGUUGCCAGCAUGCCCUUCGGGGUGAUGGGGACUCACAGGAGACUGCCGGGGUCAACUCGGAGGAAGGUGGGGACGACGUCAAGUCAUCAUGCCCCUUAUGUCUUGGGCUGCACACGUGCUACAAUGGCCGGUACAAUGAGCUGCGAUGUCGCAAGGCGGAGCGAAUCUCAAAAAGCCGGUCUCAGUUCGGAUUGGGGUCUGCAACUCGACCCCAUGAAGUCGGAGUUGCUAGUAAUCGCAG